UUUCAUUUCCCUUCCUCUUGGCGAGAAGCGGCCCAAGAAGAACCACGAGCCGGAUUUCCAGAUGGACAAACGGGGCCGGCGCUGCCCUUGGCUGGACUGCCGCCCGUUAGCAAGUCGGCCAAGCUUGGAAUCGUUACUUCUUCGGACUACAACCGCCAGCAUCCGCCAGCCAGCAUGGUCCUGGGGGGCGGCGGGGGAGUUCUGAAAGGAGUCACCCAGGAAAGACAAGGCAAGGCAGGAGCACACUGUUCUCCUUCAGACUUUUCACCCGAAUGGGGGGGGGGAGGAGGACCGGGGGAAGCGUGAGAGCCGCCUCCGUUUCUUUAGAUGCCCCUAAACAAUUCAAAGUGCAUAUAUAAUAAAAGAAAUACAAUUAUAUCAGCAGCAAAGGCUAUUGAGAGCUACCACACAUGAAGUCAAUGUAUUGCCUUCAGCAGAGGGUAAUACGGCUCCAAAUAUCUUUUGCUGAGAAACCUGAGCAGAAGAGUAUUAUUGUACCAAGGCCCUGCUUCUGACUUUCCUACAAACAUCUGAUGGGCCUCUCUGGACACGGGGCUUUUCUCCUGCUCUAGUAAUGCCCUUGCUCUGCCCUAAAAUNNNNNNNNNNNNNCCUGUUCCCUCGGCCCCGGCCCCUCUCCCCACCCUCCCGCAGGAUGUUUUGACGGCGCCGGAUGCCCCGGCCUGCUGUUGUUCCUCUGUCCCUCGAUGACAUCUGAUACGGGGCUUAAUGGUGGCAGCGCCAGAUCGCCGGACUGCUUCCUUCCAGCCCACCCCCACCCGAUCCCGCCCCGAUUACUCCAAAGGACGAACCCUUUCCCUUUCCGUGAAGCGAGAAAAACCGACGGCAAUCGCUUCUCCCAAAGACGAGCAGGGCUUGAGGGACGCCCAGAAUGGCGAGCGAUGUCCUCCUUCCCAGGGCAGCCGGUGGCGGGCAGUCAAGCCCGAAAGGCCCAUCCAGGCCAGCAUCCUCCUCACCCAGCAGCCCAACCGGUUGCUCCCAGGGAGUCCACGGAUAGUAUCCAGGCAAAGCUCCGGCACCUCCUUCUCCCAGUAAGUGAUAUUCAGAGGGAUACGGUGCCUAGAAGCACCGCUAUAACCGGAAGGACGAGAAGCCACGGAUAGCUUAACUUCCAUCCCCUCCUGGUCUGAUCCAAGGGCAGGGAUAGGACUCGGACUCGGGUUUGUUUAAUGACUCCGACGCGACUGGCGGCCGGAACCCACUCACGCCUCCCUUUUUCCCCCUUGGUUUUAAUAGGGACAAAGACUUGCGACUUGGUCCCAAAGACUUGGACUCCGACCCAAAGACUUGACACCAUCUUUGUCCAAGAGUAGGCAAAAUAAGGGGCCCAGGGAUCCAAAUGCGGUUAACCAGCAGCUCACAGGUUCCCCCUCCUCCCCUUUAGAAAGCCAAUCACUUGCCAGAGCUACGCAGUUAUA
rnacentral:lncRNA from 1 species